AUUGAACGCUGGCGGCAUGCCUUACACAUGCAAGUCGAACGGCAGCACGGGUGCUUGCACCUGGUGGCGAGUGGCGAACGGGUGAGUAAUACAUCGGAACAUGUCCUGUAGUGGGGGAUAGCCCGGCGAAAGCCGGAUUAAUACCGCAUACGAUCUACGGAUGAAAGCGGGGGACCUUCGGGCCUCGCGCUAUAGGGUUGGCCGAUGGCUGAUUAGCUAGUUGGUGGGGUAAAGGCCUACCAAGGCGACGAUCAGUAGCUGGUCUGAGAGGACGACCAGCCACACUGGGACUGAGACACGGCCCAGACUCCGACGGGAGGCAGCAGUGGGGAAUUUUGGACAAUGGGCGAAAGCCUGAUCCAGCAAUGCCGCGUGUGUGAAGAAGGCCUUCGGGUUGUAAAGCACUUUUGUCCGGAAAGAAAUCCUUGGCCCUAAUACGGUCGGGGGAUGACGGUACCGGAAGAAUAAGCACCGGCUAACUACGUG
rnacentral:rRNA from 1 species